UACGUAGGGGGCAAGCGUUAUCCGGAUUUACUGGGUGUAAAGGGAGCGUAGACGGCAGAGCAAGUCUGAAGUGAAAGCCCGCGGCCCAACUGCGGGACUGCUUUGGAAACUGCCCGGCUAGAGUGCUGGAGAGGUAAGCGGAAUUCCUAGUGUAGCGGUGAAAUGCGUAGAUAUUAGGAGGAACACCAGUGGCGAAGGCGGCUUACUGGACUGUAAAUGACGCUGAGGCUCGAAAGCGUGGGGAGCAAACAGG
rnacentral:rRNA from 1 species